rnacentral:rRNA from 1 species
GAGUUUGAUCUUGGCUCAGAUUGAACGCUGGCGGCAGGCCUAACACAUGCAAGUCGAGCGGAUGAAGGGAGCUUGCUCCUGGAUUCAGCGGCGGACGGGUGAGUAAUGCCUAGGAAUCUGCCUGGGUAGUGGGGGAUAACGUCCGGAAACGGGCGCUAAUACCGCAUACGUCCUGAGGGAGAAAGUGGGGGAUCUUCGGACCUCACGCUAUCAGAUGAGCCUAGGUCGGAUUAGCUAGUUGGUGGGGUAAAGGCCUACCAAGGCGACGAUCCGUAACUGGUCUGAGAGGAUGAUCAGUCACACUGGAACUGAGACACGGUCCAGACUCCUACGGGAGGCAGCAGUGGGGAAUAUUGGACAAUGGGCGAAAGCCUGAUCCAGCCAUGCCGCGUGUGUGAAGAAGGUCUUCGGAUUGUAAAGCACUUUAAGUUGGGAGGAAGGGCAGUAAGUUAAUACCUUGCUGUUUUGACGUUACCAACAGAAUAAGCACCGGCUAACUUCGUGCCAGCAGCCGCG